GCUCUCGUCGUUCAAUGGAUAGGACACUUCCCUGCGAAGGAAGAGAUCCAGGUUCGAUUCCUGGUGGGAGCA
rnacentral:tRNA from 1 species